UCAAAUAGGUUUGGGAACUUCUCUCUCAUCUCGCUCUCCAACUCCCACGUCGCCUCUUCCAGAGUGUGGUGCUGCCACUGCACCUUCACUAUAAGGAUCCUCUUAUUGCAUAAAACUUUAAAGGUCCAAUCAAGAAUUUUUGCGUUCAAUUCCUCAUGCGUCAUAUCGGCUUGUACCUGCGUCUCAUCGUGAGGAAUAAUAUGAUAAGGUUAGGGUGGUACUUUUUGAGCAUGAAGACAUAGAAAACAUUAUGUAGACUUGUAAACUCUCGAGGCAAAGUAAAGUAGUACGCCAUGGGUCCAAUACACUCCAUGAUUUGAAAUGGUCCCACAUAAUGGGGGGCUCAACUUCCCUCUUUUCCCAAAUCGCUUCUUUCCCUUGUAGGAGAAAAUCUUGAGGAAGACUUGGUCUCCAACGGCGAAUUCCAAAGAUCUUUUACAAUUAUCAGCGUAACUCUUCUGGUGACUCUGGGUGGUAGCCAAGUUCCUACGAUGAUCGCAACAUUCUCAAUAAUCUCCUGGAUUAAUUUUAGUCUCGAAUGAUGCUGGUUUUCGACUUCGCUCCAACAAGUUGG
rnacentral:lncRNA from 1 species